CAGUGGCUGUUCAGACCUUUCAGAGACACUGAACACACCAGCAGCACAAUGAUGAUGUCACUGACUCUACUGCUGACCACCCUGGGGCUCCUUGUUCAGGGUUCAUCAGGUGAAAUCAUCCUGACUCAGACUCCUCGAUCUCAGUCUGUUGCUCCUGGACAGACUGUUUCCAUCAAAUGUAAAGCCAGUUCCAACAUGGGCGCCUACCUUCACUGGUACCUUCACAAACCUGGAGAGGUUCCUAAACUCCUCAUAAAUUAUGCUACAUCUCGUGUGUCUGGAGUUUCAGAUCGUUUCAGUGGAAGUGGAUCUGGGACUGAUUUCACUUUAACCAUCAGUGGAAUCCAGAGUGAGGAUACAGGAGAUUAUUACUGUCAGCAGGGUGGUUACAGCUUCCCGUUCACACGGUGAUACAACAUCGUACAAAAACCUCCUUCAGCUGGAGAGGAACUGAUCUGAAUGAGCUGCUCACUGAAACCACAA